UUCUACUCAUUAUAAUCUGUGCCUGCUCCAGUUUAAUCGAAUUUUUUGGAAGACAUAUUUUGCCGGCCCUAAAUUGUCACUUGAUAUUUGUUUACAUUCCAUAUGAAAAUACAGCUGUCACUUGAUAUUAAUUUCAAAAAUGGAAAAACAAAAAAUAUAAGAAAAGAAUUGUGGCAGAGUAAAGUAAGUCCUAGGAAAAACAACCACAUAGUGGAGGAAAUGGCAAUGGAGUUGCAGCAACAAGGUUUGCAUUUCAUGGCGAGUGAAAUAAAAUCGAAAAUGCACAAUCUUUCACAGAGAUAUAGGAAAGAGAAGACAGCAGUCAGGUCAACUGGUGGUUCUUCCUCGCAGCGGCCACUUUAUGWUAAAAUGAGAGGCGUACUGUUGCCGUAGCAACGCCGAGAGCUUAGUGGAGGAAAGUAUUCAAUGAAAGAAGUUCUACUAACUUGGAACCAUUCCAAAUUUCGGUGGAAACGGCAACGUCUUCUACAUUUGUUGCUGCAUUUCCAUUGUCAUCACCGGUUUGUCUACCAUCGCCGUCAGCGAUGCCGAUAUCGCCAACCGAUACUUCUUCGCUACCAGUACCGUCUCCCGAGCCGAGUGAUUCUAUUAAAAAAAGAGGGAAUCAUUUUCAGAGCAUUAUAUUAAAAAAAUUUGAAAAAAUUUAAAAACACCUCGAGCAAGCAAGUCAGGAAUCCAUGGAAACCCGCAAAGAAAUUAAGGACUUGACAAAAAAAAAUGGUUGAAAAGACAAUAAACUGAAAUGAUGGAACAAUAUAUGAAAGACACUAAAGAAACAAAUGAACGAUUACUUCAGUUUCUAAGUAAUUAAAAAUAAUAAUAAUAAUGAAUMCACGUAUUAUCUGUUUGAUAAUAUACAUAUGUUUAAC